CCCAUCCCAGUGUCCCGAAAAUACCCGUUCUCCCCCUCAUAAAUAGUAGACCAUAUUGUCACAUUGAUGUUUUCUUUCAUUACAGUUAGACUUCGAGAUCUACAUUUUCGACAAAGGCCUGGUGUAAUAUUACGUACUUGAUGAAGGUUUAAUGACACGAAUGAGUACAAGUACAUUACAUUUUUUCGACGAAGGCCUUCUGUAAUUUCAUACGCUUCUUACGCAACAUUCAAUAGAUUUAUUUACUGUAUUAUCAUUUCGACCAAGGCGAAUUCGACACUUCAAUUACACAAGGUUAGUAACUUUUGUUCACAAAAUCCAAAUGGAGGCAAAUACAGAACAAUCAAACUUAGUCAUUCCAGUCAGUUACUGAAGCACAGUGAAAACUGUCGGGAGCAGUGCAACUGAUGGCAUGUCAAACUUCCAGUGACUGUCCCUGUCCAUAUAUUUCAAGACAGUACAAAUCUUGUAAUCAUUUUGUUUAUGCAAUGUACGUUAUUAUGUAUCAUUUCAGCACAAUCAAACUUAGUCAUUCCAGUCAGUUACUGAAGCACAGCGAAAACUGUCUGAAUUAGUGCUGCUGGUGGCAUGUAAUUACUCUACUACCACUACCAGUGACAGUCAAUGUCCAUAUAUUUUCAAGUGUGCGAAAUUAGUACUCGUCUACUUCUUAGUGUUAUUUGAAUGCAAUGUAUGUUAUAAAAAUAUUUUUUCAACACUAUAUCAACAUUCUCAUUCCUGUCAGUUUCUGAAAAUCAGCUAAAGCAAUCGCUACCAAUGCAGCUGAUAACAGCAAUUCUUUUUGUUCCCAAUGCCCAUCCAUGACAAUAUAUUUCACGCAUGUGACAAUCAUGUAAUCAUCCUGUUUUUUGUGUUCUAUUCAUGCAAUAAAUAAAUUCAGUAUUUUCAAAUCAUUGGUGCUACAAAACUAUUCUCAUUAUAGAUUAUUCAUAUUUUAUAAAAUGCUGUCAUGUCAAAUUUUGUGUCCUAUAAAUCAUUAUGAAGUCGGCAUUUUAUAUACAACUUUUGUACUCCUCCUAAAUAAACAUACAAAUCUUGUUUUAUGUAAACUUUGUAUAUGUGACCCGUCACAGCAAAACCAGGCGCAUGUCGCUCUGAGCUUGGCAGGUUGAGACGGACUGUUUGUUCAUUUAUCUAUUGUCUGCCUUUUGUAAAAUAUGAGCACAUCAAUUUCUUCCAUUAUCUCCUGGUGUCAUUUAGGCUCAUCUCCUGUGCGACAUGUACCUGGUUUUGCUGUGACGGGUCACAUAUUCUAUAGAUAUACAACACUCUAAUGUCACAAUGCCUCUCUCACUCGCUUUUAUAUAGCAAGAUGUAUGAAUAAACAUGACACACCAACUAUGUACAAAAUUGCUAACAAACUGCACCAUUUGUCAGUACACCACAUGAAAUACAGAGAUAUGUCUUAAUUCUAAUCUUUCAUUAGCGACACCAUUUCUUACCCGAGUGCCUCCUUCAUUCAUACAUCUUGUACUUUAACUCAAGAUACCCAUCUUUGAAUAUUUUUAGCAUACCAAGUACUACAAUGUCAAUGUAUUGAAGUCAUGUUCUUGUAGUGUUAUUGGCUUUCUAUUAUCUUGUCAAAAUACCACUUGGUUCUCGCAAAAUCUCAAUAAAAACAAAUGCUAUUGCAUGUAUUGCAUAUUCUAACAGCUAUCCACUGUAUCGAUUUAUCCAUCAUCUGUACUAUUUGUCACAAAAAUGUUAUAUUAUGUAAAUCAUAUUUCAUUACAUAAUGCACACUGCCAAUUACUGCUGAA